UGCAAGUCGAGCGGACUUUCAUUGGUGCUUGCACCUUUGAAAGUUAGCGGCGGACGGGUGAGUAACACGUGGGUAACCUACCCUGUAGAUUGGGAUAACUCCGGGAAACCGGGGCUAAUACCGAAUAACACUUUUGACCUCAUGGUCGAAUGUUAAAAGAUGGUUUCGGCUAUCACUACAGGAUGGGCCCGCGGCGCAUUAGCUAGUUGGUGAGGUAACGGCUCACCAAGGCAACGAUGCGUAGCCGACCUGAGAGGGUGAUCGGCCACACUGGGACUGAGACACGGCCCAAACUCCUACGGGAGGCAGCAGUAGGGAAUCUUCCACAAUGGACGAAAGUCUGAUGGAGCAACGCCGCGUGAGUGAAGAAGGAUUUCGGUUCGUAAAACUCUGUUGCAAGGGAAGAACAAGUAGCGUAGUAACUGGCGCUACCUUGACGGUACCUUGUUAGAAAGCCACGGCUAACUACGUGCCAGCAGCCGCGGUAAUACGGAGGUGGCAAGCGUUGUCCGGAAUUAUUGGGCGUAAAGCGCGCGCAGGUGGUUUCUUAAGUCUGAUGUGAAAGCCCACGGCUCAACCGUGGAGGGUCAUUGGAAACUGGGAAACUUGAGUGCAGAAGAGGAUAGUGGAAUUCCAAGUGUAGCGGUGAAAUGCGUA
rnacentral:rRNA from 1 species